rnacentral:rRNA from 1 species
GGGCCCGUUGUCGGGAUAUUGGGCGUAAGAGCUUGUAGGUGGCUUGUCGCGUCUGCCGUGAAAACCCGAGGCUCAACCUCGGGCGUGCGGUGGGUACGGGCAGGCUAGAGUGUGGUAGGGGAGACUGGAACUCCUGGUGUAGCGGUGAAAUGCGCAGAUAUCAGGAAGAACACCGAUGGCGAAGGCAGGUCUCUGGGCCAUUACUGACACUGAGAAGCGAAAGCAUGGGUAGCGAACAGGAUUAGAUACCCUGGUAGUCCAUGCCGUAAACGUUGGGCACUAGGUGUGGGGGACAUUCCACGUUUUCCGCGCCGUAGCUAACGCAUUAAGUGCCCCGCCUGGGGAGUACGGCCGCAAGGCUAAAACUCAAAGGAAUUGACGGGGGCCCGCACAAGCGGCGGAGCAUGCUGAUUAAUUCGAUGCAACGCGAAGAACCUUACCAAGGCUUGACAUGCACUGGACGGCUGCAGAGAUGUGGCUUUCUUUGGGCUGGUGCACAGGUGGUGCAUGGUUGUCGUCAGCUCGUGUCGUGAGAUGUUGGGUUAAGUCCCGCAACGAGCGCAACCCUCGUUCUAUGUUGCCAGCACGUGAUGGUGGGGACUCAUAGGAGACUGCCGGGGUCAACUCGGAGGAAGGUGGGGACGAUGUCAAAUCAUCAUGCCCCUUAUGUCUUGGGCUUCAAGCAUGCUACAAUGGUCGGUACAAUGGGUUGCGAAACUGUGAGGUGGAGCGAAUCCCAAAAAGCCGGCCUCAGUUCGGAUUGGGGGUCUGCAACUCGACCCCAUGAAGUCGGAGUCGCUAGUAAUCGCAGAUCAGCAACGCUGCGGUGAUACGUUCCCGGCCU